rnacentral:lncRNA from 1 species
UCAGAAUCAGAUUACUACACCUAUCUUUAGCUCUCAGCACAAACCACUCUUUCCAUUACACUUUUAAAUACUCCGUGAUAAAGCGAUAUUGAACCUUUCUCUGAUAGCCCAGUGAAAAUCCUGUCUUUGAUUCAACCAGGCCGUAGACAGUGCUGGCACUGAUGGAACCACAUUACGGCAGCCGCUCCCUACCUGUGCCUGUCCUCUUUUGGGUUUGGGACUCCCUCCCCAUCUGCUGCUAUAUUUAUCUGCCUGCUUGGCCAUAAAAGGCUGGCUGUGGGGCCUGACAUUCUGCUGUCUGACCACAUGCCUUAUUUUGGAACUGGGCCCCAGGGUCCUGUCUCCAGUCGGCCUCUUUUCCUUGGAUCCAGCCUAGCUGAGGUUUUCAUCGUCUCCUGCAGCCCCUCACGGCAUCGGAACAUUCCCAUCAACGUUGGUCCUUUGGAGGCUGGUCGCCUGCUUCCCUGCGGGACACAAGAUGGCUCUGCCUUUUUAUCAGAAGUCCCACCAGCACUAUGACCUCAGCUACCGCGACAAAGACCUUCGCACCACCGUGAGCCAUUACCAGCAGGAGAAGAAGCACUCUGCCAUCUACACACACGGCUCCGCAGCCUACACCAGCCGCUCCUCUGCUGCCCACCGCCAGGAGUCCGAGGCUUUCAGCCAGGUGGCGGCCUCCUCCCAGCAGCAGGCCUCACACUACUCCCUAGGGGCUGAAGUCAGCCGCAAAGCCACCUCAGCCUAUGACUACGGCUACUCCCACGGGCUUACCGGCUCCAGUUUGCUGCUAGAAGAUUAUUCAUCCAGCUUGAGCCCCAAAACAAAGAGAGCAAAGCACAGUCUUCAAUCCGGAGAGGAGAAGGAAAAUCUGCCAGGAAACUACAUGGUGCCUAUUUAUUCUGGGCGGUGCGUGCGCUUUCUCGUUCUGCUUUGA